GGGGGCGACUUGGCUUCGACGGGGGUCGCGAAACCCGAGGUGCAUGUCGAGAGAGUGAAUAAUCUCGUAAAUCAAAUUUCACAUUUUAAAGUAUUCGCAAACGACGAAAACUACGCUCUAGCUGCUUAAUCGCGGCUGGACUCUCGGCAGUUACUUGCUUGUGAGGGCUGAGUUUACCUAGUAAACACCCGAGAGUCAUUUAUCACAAGAUCGACGAAUCUGAUUGUCUGGUUCAGAAUCGUCUAAAACUUUACAGAAUCGCUGAACAUGUUCCCUGCCGGUCGGGUUGUGUUCAGUUAAAUUAAUAGAUUCGGCUAAACAUGUAGAUCCAACGGCAGAGGGCUUGCGGACGCGGGUUCAAUUCCCGCCGCCUCCACCA
rnacentral:tmRNA from 1 species